GACGAACGCUGGCGGCGUGCUUAACACAUGCAAGUCGAACGGAAAGGCCCUGCUUUUGUGGGGUGCUCGAGUGGCGAACGGGUGAGUAACACGUGAGUAACCUGCCCUUGACUUUGGGAUAACUUCAGGAAACUGGGGCUAAUACCGGAUAGGAGCUCCUGCUGCAUGGUGGGGGUUGGAAAGUUUCGGCGGUUGGGGAUGGACUCGCGGCUUAUCAGCUUGUUGGUGGGGUAGUGGCUUACCAAGGCUUUGACGGGUAGCCGGCCUGAGAGGGUGACCGGCCACAUUGGGACUGAGAUACGGCCCAGACUCCUACGGGAGGCAGCAGUGGGGAAUAAUGCACAAUGGGCGGAAGCCUGAUGCAGCAACGCCGCGUGCGGGAUGACGGCCUUCGGGUUGUAAACCGCUUUCGCCUGUGACGAAGCGUGAGUGACGGUAAUGGGUAAAGAAGCACCGGCUAAGUACGUG
rnacentral:rRNA from 1 species